AUUGAACGCUGGCGGCAGGCUUAACACAUGCAAGUCGAGCGGGGUGAUGGUGCUUGCACUAUCACUUAGCGGCGGACGGGUGAGUAAUGCUUAGGAAUCUGCCUAUUAGUGGGGGACAACAUCUCGAAAGGGGUGCUAAUACCGCAUACGUCCUACGGGAGAAAGCAGGGGAUCACUUGUGACCUUGCGCUAAUAGAUGAGCCUAAGUCGGAUUAGCUAGUUGGUGGGGUAAAGGCCUACCAAGGCGACGAUCUGUAGCGGGUCUGAGAGGAUGAUCCGCCACACUGGGACUGAGACACGGCCCAGACUCCUACGGGAGGCAGCAGUGGGGAAUAUUGGACAAUGGGGGGAACCCUGAUCCAGCCAUGCCGCGUGUGUGAGGAAGGCCUUAUGGUUGAAAAGCACUUUAAGCGAGGAGGAGGCUCUUUUGGUUAAUACCCAAGAUGAGUGGACGUUACUCGCAGAAUAAGCACCGGCUAACUCUGUGCCAGCAGCCGCCGUAA
rnacentral:rRNA from 1 species